AUUGAACGCUGGCGGCAUGCCUUACACAUGCAAGUCGAACGGCAGCACGGGUGCUUGCACCUGGUGGCGAGUGGCGAACGGGUGAGUAGUACAUCGGAACGUACCUUAUCGUGGGGGAUAACGCAGCGAAAGCUGUGCUAAUACCGCAUACGCCCUGAGGGGGAAAGCGGGGGAUCGCAAGACCUCGCGCGAUUAGAGCGGCCGAUGCCUGAUUAGCUUGUUGGUGGGGUAAAAGCCCACCAAGGCGACGAUCAGUAGCUGGUCUGAGAGGACGAUCAGCCACACUGGGACUGAGACACGGCCCAGACUCCGACGGGAGGCAGCAGUGGGGAAUUUUGGACAAUGGGGGCAACCCUGAUCCAGCAAUGCCGCGUGAGUGAAGAAGGCCUUCGGGUUGUAAAGCUCUUUUGUCAGGGAAGAAACACCGGCUCUAACACAGUCCGGGAAUGACGGUACCUGAAGAAUAAGCACCGGCUAACUACGUGCCAGCCGCCGCCGUAA
rnacentral:rRNA from 1 species